CUUGGAACUGCAAUCAAAACUUUUCAGCUAGAGUAUGAUAGAGGAAAGCAGAAUUUCUAGUGUAGAGGUGAAAUUCGUAGAUAUUAGAAAGAAUACCAAUUGCGAAGGCAGCUUUCUGGAUCAUUACUGACACUGAGGAACGAAAGCAUGGGUAGCGAAGAGGAUUAGAUACCCUCGUAGUCCAUGCCGUAAACGAUGUGUGUUAGACGUUGGAAAUUUAUUUUCAGUGUCGCAGCGAAAGCGAUAAACACACCGCCUGGGGAGUACGACCGCAAGGUUAAAACUCAAAUGAAUUGACGGGGACCCGCACAAGUAGUGGAGCAUGUGGUUUAAUUCGAAGAUACGCGCAGAACCUUACCAACACUUGACAUGUUCGUCGCGACUUUAAGAGAUUAAAGUUUUCGGUUCGGCCGGACGAAACACAGGUGCUGCAUGGCUGUCGUCAGCUCGUGUCGUGAGAUGUUGGGUUAAGUCCCGCAACGAGCGCAACCCUCACUUUUAGUUGCCAUCAUUAAGUUGGGCACUCUGAAAGAACUGCCAGUGAUAAGCUGGAGGAAGGUGGGGAUGACGUCAGGUCCUCAUGGCCCUUACGUGUUGGGCUACACACGUGCUACAAUGGUAUCUACAACAGGAAGCAAGACUGCGAAGUUAAGCAAAUCCUUAAAAGAUACCUCAGUUCGGAUUGCACUCUGCAACUCGAGUGCAUGAAGCUGGAAUUACUAGUAAUCGUGGAUCAGCGUGCCACGGUGAAUGCGUUCCCGGGUCUUGUACACACCGCCCGUCACACCAUGGGAGUUGGUUCUACCUUAAGGCAAGGCUUCAAACCCUUGACCACGGUAUAGUCAGCGACUGGGGUGAAGUCGUAACAAGGUAACC
rnacentral:rRNA from 1 species